rnacentral:rRNA from 1 species
CGGCGUGGAUUAGGCAUGCAAGUCGGACGGUAUGGACCUUUCGGGGUUCAGAGAGUGGCGAACGGGUGAGUAACACGUAGGUAAUCUACCCUCAAGACGGGGACAACCCAGGGAAACUUGGGCUAAUACCGGAUGAGUGUAGUGGCUGUUUUUCUGAAUAUCAUUAUUCACGUAAGUGAGUGAUUAUAAGAAGGGAAAGCGGUUAUUACAUAAAAGGUGGCUUUAGCUGCCGCUUGGGGAUGAGCCUGCGUCCUAUUAGUUAGUUGGUGAGGUAAUGGCUUACCAAGGCGAUGAUAGGUAGGCGGCCUUAACGGGUGGUCGCCCACACUGGGAUUGAGAUACGGCCCAGACUCCUACGGGAGGCAGCAGUCGAGAAUAGUCUACAAUGGACGAAAGUCUGAUAGUGCGACGCCGCGUGAACGAAGAAUCCCUUCGGGGUGUAAAGUUCUUUUAUACGUGAGCAGUGCCCUUUAUAUUAAUAGUAUAUGGGGAGAGAUAUUAGCGUAUGAAUAAGCAACGGCUAACUCCGUG